rnacentral:rRNA from 1 species
UACGUAGGUGGCGAGCGUUGUCCGGAUUUACUGGGCGUAAAGGGAGCGUAGGCGGACUUUUAAGUGAGAUGUGAAAUACCCGGGCUCAACUUGGGUGCUGCAUUUCAAACUGGAAGUCUAGAGUGCAGGAGAGGAGAGUGGAAUUCCUAGUGUAGCGGUGAAAUGCGUAGAUAUUAGGAGGAACACCAGUAGCGAAGGCGGCUCUCUGGACUGUAACUGACGCUGAGGCACGAAAGCGUGGGGAGCAAACAGGAUUAGAUACCCCGGUA